CUCCUCUUCGGCAUCUCCCCUGUGCCUCGCCGCCGCCGUCCAGCUCCUUCGAUGUCUGCUCGCCACCGCUGGCUAGUCCCCCAAAGUCAGAGCCGACGCCGAGCCCGACCCCUUGCGACAGGCUUUAUUUUCCUCUUCUCCUAUUCUUUCCGGCGUCUCCCUUGUGCCCUUUCGCCACCGUCCAGCUCCUCCGAUGUCUGCUCGCUAGAGUCUCCCAAAGUC
rnacentral:lncRNA from 1 species